rnacentral:rRNA from 1 species
CUAACACAUGCAAGUCGAACGGUAACAGGAAGAAGCUUGCUUCUUUGCUGACGAGUGGCGGACGGGUGAGUAAUGUCUGGGAAACUGCCUGAUGGAGGGGGAUAACUACUGGAAACGGUAGCUAAUACCGCAUAACGUCGCAAGACCAAAAAGGGGGACCUUCGGGCCUCUUGCCAUCGGAUGUGCCCAGAUGGGAUUAGCUAGUAGGUGGGGUAACGGCUCACCUAGGCGACGAUCCCUAGCUGGUCUGAGAGGAUGACCAGCCACACUGGAACUGAGACACGGUCCAGACUCCUACGGGAGGCAGCAGUGGGGAAUAUUGCACAAUGGGCGCAAGCCUGAUGCAGCCAUGCCGCGUGUAUGAAGAAGGCCUUCGGGUUGUAAAGUACUUUCAGCGGGGAGGAAGGGAGUAAAGUUAAUACCUUUGCUCAUUGACGUUACCCGCAGAAGAAGCACCGGCUAACUCCGUGCCAGCAGCCGCGGGUAAUACGGAGGGUGCAGGCGUUAAUCGGAAUUACUGGGCGUAAA